CGUGGAGUAUGUGGUUUAAUUCGAUGCAACGCGAAGAACCUUACCUGGUCUUGACAUCCCGGAGACCCUUAGGAACUAGGGGUGCUUCCAUCUGGAAGAAUCUGGAGACAGGUGCUGCAUGGCUGUCGUCAGCUCGUGUCGUGAGAUGUUGGGUUAAGUCCCGCAACGAGCGCAACCCUUGCCUUUAGUUGCCAGCAGUUCGGCUGGGCACUCUAAAGGGACUGCCGGUGUUAAACCGGAGAAGGUGGGGAUGACGUCAAGUCCUCAUGGCCUUUAUGACCAGGGCUACACACGUACUACAAUGGCCGAUACAAAGGGCAGCGACACUGCGAGGUGAAGCCAAUCCCGUAAAAUCGGUCUCAGUCCGGAUUGGAGUCUGCAACUCGACUCCAUGAAGUUGGAAUCGCUAGUAAUCGUGGAUCAGCAUGCCACGGUGAAUACGUUCCCGGGCCUU
rnacentral:rRNA from 1 species